CAGGACGAACGCUGGCGGCGUGCCUAACACGAUAGCAAGUCGAGCGAGGAGAUUCCUCGGGAUGAUCCUAGCGGCGGACGGGUGAGUAACACGUGGGCAACCUGCCUCAUAGAGAGGAAUAGCCUUCCGAAAGGGAGAUUAAUACCUCAUAACAUUGCAGUUUCGCAUGGAACAGCAAUUAAAGGAGCAAUCCGCUAUGAGAUGGGCCCGCGGCGCAUUAGCUAGUUGGUGAGGUAACGGCUCACCAAGGCGACGAUGCGUAGCCGACCUGAGAGGGUGAUCGGCCACAUUGGGACUGAGACACGGCCCAGACUCCUACGGGAGGCAGCAGUGGGGAAUAUUGCACAAUGGGGGAAACCCUGAUGCAAGCAACGCCGCGUGAGUGAUGACGGCCUUCGGGUUGUAAAGCUCUGUCUUCAGGGACGAUAAUGACGGUACCUGAGGAGGAAGCCACGGCUAACUACGUGCCAGCCGCUGC
rnacentral:rRNA from 1 species